GUUUGGGCCACUGAGUCCCUAGAUUUGAAGUCUCUGCAGUGUUUGGGAGUCUAUGUCCAGAUAUUGACAUUUAUGAUUUUGAGGGCAGAGUGAAUUUGUGUCCCAGGGUGUCAGCUUUCUGAAUUGUUUAUGGGUGUAUGUCCCAGGAGGUAAGGUUCCUAAACUGUUUGUGGGUAUAUGUCCCAAAUGUGUGAGGUCCCUGAUAUGCUUGUGGCUACAUGUUGCAGUAUAUGAGGUCUCAGCUCAUGGGUGUAUGUACCAGGAUGUGAGUUAUCUGAGCUCUUUGAGUAUGCGUGUCUGAGAUUAUGAAGUCUCUGAUGUGUUUGGAUGUAUGUUUCCCAGGAUGAGAGAUUUCUGAUUUGCUUGUGGGUAUAUAUUCCAGGAUGUUACUUACCUGAUCUAUUUGGGUGUGUAUGGUGUAAGGUUUCUGAUCUGCUUGUGAGUGUAUGUCCCGGGGUAUGAGGUCUCUGAUCUGUUUUUGGCUCUAUGUCCCUGGAUGUUAGAUCUCUGAUCUCUUUGUGAGUGUAUGUGCAAAUGUGUGAGCUCUCUGAUCUCUUUGUGGGUAUAUGUGCCAAGGUAUAAGGUCUCUGAGCUCUUUGUGGGUAUAUUUCCUUGGUUGUUAGAUUCCUGAGCUUUUUCGAUUGUGUUUUCUGCAGCAUUAGUACUCUGAUCCAUUUGUUGAGAGUGUGUUUUUGUAAUAUAUGAGGACUAUUCUGUCUGAGGGUGUAUGUCCCAGAGUGUGAGGUCUCUGAGCUCUUUGGAUGCAUGGGUUACAAAGCGUGAGGUCUCUGAGGUGUUAGGUGGUCUUUCCUAGGGUGUCCUGACGUUGAGCUGGUUAGGGGUCCGUGUCAGGAGAUGUGAGGUCUCUGAGCUGUAUAUAGAUGUUUCCAGAGUUGGAAUUCUCUGCACCGAGUCUGUUUCCGUGCUGGGUGCUCUCUAAGCCUUUGGGGUCUGCGUCUGAGGCUUGACUCGAGUUGUUUGUGGCACUAUGUUCUAGGGAGUGAGGUCCCUGGGAUGUUUCGUGCUCUAUUAUCCAGGGCGUCUCUGAGCAAUUUGGGGGUCUGUGUCCCAGAUAUGAGGUUUCAGAAUCAUUUGGGGAUCUGCAGAGUGUGAGGCCUCUCGGUGUUGGGCAGUCUGUAUCAGGGUGGCACAGCUCAGCUGUUCGGGGGUCUGUCCC
rnacentral:lncRNA from 1 species